AGAAUAGCAUGGACGAAACAGAGAAGGAAAGAAGGAAAGAAAGAAAAGAAAGAAAGAAAAGAGAAAAUUGAGGUUUUGAGGUUCUAAGCUCAUUUGGUUAGUACAAAACCAAUGUUCGAUCCAGCAUCCAGAGUAAUCUCGACCUCAGAGAAAUUUAGCGAUGUACUUUUCUUUUGAUAACGUGGCAUGUACCUAAGUAAUGUUUAUACCUAAGUGAUGUAUAGGGAUUAGUCAAUUUGAAUGUUUGUAUCUAUGAUAUUGCUAAAGGAAGAUGUGUGAGUAUGUGAUAAUGUUUGGCUUUUAAAAUGGUUAAGUAUGAAUAUGUUUGGUAAUAUGUAUGUUUAGAUGAUAAAUCAUGCAUGGAAAUCAUGAAAGAGUAAAAA